UACGUAGGGGGCAAGCGUUGUCCGGAAUUAUUGGGCGUAAAGCGCGUGUAGGCGGCCAGAUAAGUCCGCUGUGAAAUCUCGAGGCUCAACUUCGAGCUGUCGGUGGAAACUGUCUGGCUAGAGUCCGGAAGAGGAGAAUGGAAUUCCUGGUGUAGCGGUGAAAUGCGCAGAUAUCAGGAAGAACACCCGUGGCGAAGGCGGUUCUCUGGGACGGUACUGACGCUGAGACGCGAAAGCGUGGGGAGCGAACAGG
rnacentral:rRNA from 1 species